rnacentral:lncRNA from 1 species
UGGGUCUGUGGACCAGGAGAGAGGUUAGGGUCGAUGCGCUGCAGCGCUUGUAGCUGCCAUGUGGAUGGGUUUGUUACAGUGGGUGUAUGGCUUUUGAAGAAUUAUGUUACAACCAAUGGAUUAGAAUAAGUAUCAUAAAGAUUAAAAACACUAUAGUGUUAGUAAGAAUUAAGUGUAUCACUGAAGAACUUUGUCCAUGCCCCCUUACUAAAACCUAGAAGCUCUUAUGUAAUUUAUGUCAAUAAUGAUUUCUCGAGGAAUACAUUACUUCUUUGAGAUCAUAUGUAUCUGUUUGAUCAAUAUGAUACAACAAUUUGU